ACCCGGUUGGCUCAGUCGGUAGAGCGUGUGACUCUUCAUCUUGGGGUUGUGGGUUCGAGCCCCACAUUGGCUG
rnacentral:tRNA from 1 species